rnacentral:rRNA from 1 species
UACGAAGGGGGCUAGCGUUGUUCGGAUUUACUGGGCGUAAAGCGCACGUAGGCGGAUCGUUAAGUCGGGGGUGAAAUCCUGGAGCUCAACUCCAGAACUGCCUUCGAUACUGGCGAUCUCGAGUCCGGAAGAGGUGAGUGGAACUCCUAGUGUAGAGGUGGAAUUCGUAGAUAUUAGGAAGAACACCAGUGGCGAAGGCGACUCACUGGUCCGGUACUGACGCUGAGGUGCGAAAGGCGUGGGGAGCAAACAGG